UUUAAUUUCUCCCUUCAUCCCAUUUCUUUAAGUGCUAUGCUAGCUAUUCAGAUGGAUAAAAGGGGUUUUUAUGAUAUCUCCAUAUUUAUGCACUUAUCUCCUUAAUUCUUUGACAUUUUGUUUCUUGAGGAGAAUGGGGAAGGCAGCCAUUGGAAAGCCAACUGAGCAACAGGUGAAGGUUUAUUAAGUGCAUAUUAUUGGAGACCGCACGUCUAUGUGGAAACGGGGUUCUCAGAAACCUACAGCAUGCCUCAUCUUUAGUUGUAUAUUGGAGACUUGCUUUGUCCCCUAUUCUGAAUGCGCUCACUUUUAGGAACAGAAACAAUAAAGAUCAGCACAUACAGUGUAUUCUUCAGUGGAUGAAAGGAGUGAUACUUGCCCUACUUGUAAACAGGUAACAACAUGCCGCGAGGAAAACGAUUCAGAGUUGCAGUCUCAGCUUGAGCAUACCUUACUUGUAAACAGGUAUACAUUAUUCCCGCACUUAUGAAUUACAUCUCUCUUUCUCUCUCGUGACAAUUUUGACAGUUAUGUGAUUACUGAUAUGUUUCUUCUGUUUCAUUAGGUAAUGAUUUUUGAGAAAAUCAUUUAGAAAGAUUUAUACUUGCUAAUUUGCUUUAAAAAAAAUUAUAGCAUUAACAAGAAUACUAGCACAAAGGUCAAUAUGAAGGAGAAGGCGAAACAUUAAUAAAAUCUUUCAUUCCUUUUAGCAUCUAUAACAUCUGUUUCCAACCAUUCUUUCUGAGAAAUAAAAGCUCUUAUGCAAGAAUGAGUUGUGAUUCAGAGUUGCAUGAAUUGUUAACAUAUCAUGAGUAAACAAUGGGUAGUGUAUCGAGCAGCUCAGCAUCAGAAACAAUCUUACCAAAGAAUUGGUGAGCACCGCAAUCAAUAUUUAGAUUUUAUUUAUUAUUUAACUAAUAUUGCUUCUUUUUGUGCAUACUAGGUAACAACAUGCCGCGAGGAAAAUGAUUCAGAGAUGUUGAGUUUCAGCACACAACUGUGGGAUCUUCUUCCGAUCAGUCCUUGCAGUCCCAGCAGCCCGACGAGUCCCAGCAGCACGAGUCCCAUUCUCAGCACGAGUCUCAGUCUGAGCACGUGCCACCUGUUGAUUGUCCAGACAUGGAUGACGUGCACAUCCAAGGUAAUUUGAUUUAUAUUUUAUAUAUUAAUUUUUCUUACAAUCUAAUUAUAUUAAAUCAUUUGCCUUUAAUGUUGCAGUCUCAGCUUGAGCAUAUUUUAUCUAUGUUACAGCGAUUUCUCCCUCCUCAG
rnacentral:lncRNA from 1 species